rnacentral:lncRNA from 1 species
AGGAUGUAAUCUGAGAAUAGGGACUGUUUCUGCUCUUCCAAAUAUUUUAGACCUGCUCAUCUUGAGGAGGAAAGAACUACAUUCAAGGUUAGCUACUGGUACCGCUCUGAGUCACUGGGAGAUUGUUCUGCCAUCUCCAUCUCUCUACCCAAACAAGAGUUGACGUUGGAUUUUCUCCAAACAACUGAGCAGCUGCCCCUUUCUCUUUGUGGAACAAGGAGCUCUGAAGACUUCCCAUAUCAUAUCCAGGCUCUCCUGGAUAUUUAUCCGUGUUAAGGAAGUGUAUAGAGGGGUCCUGAGGAGAAAAAAGAGAUCUGUUUCCCAUUUUCCAAGUAAUUGAUUCACAUGUGUAUUCUGCCAAUGAGCUCUAUUAAAUCUUUUUUUUUUUAAAGAUUGGCACCUGAGCUCACAUCUGUUGCCAAUCUUCUUUUUUUUCCUGUCCCCAAAGCCCCCCAGUACAUAGUUGUAUAUUCUAG